CGAGGAAUUUUGCGCAAUGGGCGACAGCCUGACGCAGCAACGCCGCGUGGGUGAGGAAGGCCUUCGGGUCGUAAAGCCCUUUUCGGGGGGACGACGUUCGACGGUACCCCCGGAAUCAGCCACGGCUAACUACGUGCCAGCAGCCGCGGUAAUACGUAGGUGGCGAGCGUUGUCCGGAUUUAUUGGGCGUAAAGCGCGCGCAGGCGGUGCCGUAAGUCUGCUGUGAAAUCUCCCGGCUCAACUGGGAGGGGGCGGCGGAGACUGCGGCCCUGGAGGGCCCUAGAGGCCGGUGGAAUUCCCGGUGUAGUGGUGAAAUGCGUAGAGAUCGGGAGGAACACCUGUGGCGAAGGCGGCCGGCUGGGGGGACCCUGACGCUGAGGCGCGACAGCGUGGGGAGCGAACCG
rnacentral:rRNA from 1 species